AGUCAACAUGCCCAGGGGACGUGGAUAACCUCGGGAAACUGAGGAUAAACCACGAUAGGUCAUAAUAUCUGGAAUGAUUUAUGGCUAAAAUCUACAUGGCCUCUGGAUUGGACUGCGGCCGAUCAGGCUGUUGGUGAGGUAAUGGCCCACCAAACCUAAAACCGGUACGGGCUCUGAGAGGAGAAGCCCGGAGAUGGGCACUGAGACAAGGGCCCAGGCCCUAUGGGGCGCAGCAGGCGCGAAAACUCUGCAAUAAGCGAAAGCUUGACAGGGUUAUUCUGAGUGAUUUCCGCUAAGGAAAUCUUUUGGCACCUCUAAAAAUGGUGCAGAAUAAGGGGUGGGCAAGCCUGGUGUCAGCCGCCGCGGUAAUACCAGCACCCCGAGUGGUCGGGACGAUUAUUGGGCCUAAAGCAUCCGUAGCCGGUUCUACAAGUCUUCCGUUAAAUCCAUCUGCUUAACAGAUGGGCUGCGGAGGAUACUAUGGAGCUAGGAGGCGGGAGAGGCAAGCGGUACUUAGUGGGUAGGGGUAAAAUCCGUUGAUCCACUGAAGACCACCAGUGGCGAAGGCGGCUUGCCAGAACGCGCUCGACGGUGAGGGAUGAAAGCUGGGGGAGCAAACCGGAUUAGAUACCCGGGUAGUCCCAGCUGUAAACGAUGCAGACUCGGUGAUGAAUAGGCUUCGUGCCUUUUCAGUGCCGCAGGGAAGCCGUUAAGUCUGCCGCCUGGGAGUACGGUCGCAAGACUGAAACUUAA
rnacentral:rRNA from 1 species